AGAGUUUGAUCCUGGCUCAGAUUGAACGCUGGCGGUAUGCUUAACACAUGCAAGUCGUGCGAGAAAGUAUCUUCGGAUAUGAGUAGAGCGGCGGACGGGUGAGUAACGCGUAGGAAUCUACCUAGUAGAAGGGGAUAGCCCGAGGAAACUCGGAUUAAUACCGUAUACCUCCUUCGGGAGAAAGAAGGCCUCUCUUUGAAGCUUUCGCUACUGGAUGAGCCUGCGUAAGAUUAGCUUGUUGGUGAGGUAAAGGCUCACCAAGGCUACGAUCUUUAGCGGGUCUGAGAGGACGAUCCGCCACAUUGGGACUGAGACACGGCCCAGACUCCUACGGGAGGCAGCAGUGGGGAAUAUUGGACAAUGGGCGCAAGCCUGAUCCAGCCAUACCGCGUGUGUGAAGAAGGCCCUAGGGUUGUAAAGCACUUUAAGUUGGGAAGAAAAGUUAUUGGUUAAUACCCAAUAACCGUGACAUUACCAUCAGAAUAAGGACCGGCUAAUUCCGUGCCAGCAGCCGCGGUAAUACGGAAGGUCCAAGCGUUAAUCGGAAUUACUGGGCGUAAAGCGCGCGUAGGUGGUUUAUUAAGUCGGACGUGAAAUCCCCGGGCUCAACCUGGGAACUGCAUCCAAAACUGACUCACUAGAGUACGAUAGA
rnacentral:rRNA from 1 species